rnacentral:misc_RNA from 1 species
GAAAUGCGAUAAGUAAUGUGAAUUGCAGAAUUCAGUGAAUCAUCGAAUCUUUGAACGCACUUUGCGCCUAUUAGUAUUCUAGUAGGCAUGCCUGUUCGAGCGUCAUUAAGACCAUUAAGCCUCGUUUGCUUAGCGUUGGGAGCUUGCAGUUUGACUGCAAUUCCUUAAAUGUAUUGGCAGAGGUGAAUCAAACUCUCAGCGUAGUAAUUCUUUAUCUCGCUUUUGUAGUUGGUUCGUCUAUAGCCAUCAAACCUAUUACUUUUAACUGGUUGACCUCGGAUCAGGUAGGACUACCCGCUGAACUUAAGU